AUUGAACGCUGGCGGCAGGCCUAACACAUGCAAGUCGAACGGUAACAGGAAGCAGCUUGCUGCUUUGCUGACGAGUGGCGGACGGGUGAGUAAUGUCUGGGAAACUGCCUGAUGGAGGGGGAUAACUACUGGAAACGGUAGCUAAUACCGCAUAACGUCGCAAGACCAAAGAGGGGGACCUUAGGGCCUCUUGCCAUCGGAUGUGCCCAGAUGGGAUUAGCUAGUAGGUGGGGUAACGGCUCACCUAGGCGACGAUCCCUAGCUGGUCUGAGAGGAUGACCAGCCACACUGGAACUGAGACACGGUCCAGACUCCUACGGGAGGCAGCAGUGGGGAAUAUUGCACAAUGGGCGCAAGCCUGAUGCAGCCAUGCCGCGUGUAUGAAGAAGGCCUUCGGGUUGUAAAGUACUUUCAGCGGGGAGGAAGGGAGUAAAGUUAAUACCUUUGCUCAUUGACGGUACCCGCAGAAGAAGCACCGGCUAACUACGUG
rnacentral:rRNA from 1 species